rnacentral:rRNA from 1 species
CUACGGGAGGCAGCAGUGAGGAAUAUUGCACAAUGGGGGGAACCCUGAUGCAGCAACGCCGCGUGGAGGAUGACGCAUUUCGGUGUGUAAACUCCUUUUAUAUGUCAAGAAAAUGACGGUAGCAUAUGAAUAAGCACCGGCUAACUCCGUGCCAGCAGCCGCGGUAAUACGGCGGGUGCAAGCGUUACUCGGAAUCACUGGGCGUAAAGGACGCGUAGGCGGGUUGGAAAGUCAGGUGUGAAAUCCUACAGCUUAACUGUAGAACUGCACUUGAAACUUCUAAUCUAGAGUAUGGGAGGGGGAGAUGGAAUUAGUGGUGUAGGGGUAAAAUCCGUAGAUAUCACUAGGAAUACCCAAAGCGAAGGCGAUCUCCUGGAACAUUACUGACGCUAAGGCGUGAAAGCGUGGGGAGCAAACAGGAUUAGAUACCCUGGUAGUC